rnacentral:rRNA from 1 species
CAGAAACUACAAAGGAAUUGACGGGGCCCGCACAAGCGGUGGAGCAUGUGGUUUAAUUCGAAGCAACGCGAAGAACCUUACCAGGCCUUGACAUGCAGAGAACUUUCCAGAGAUGGAUUGGUGCCUUCGGGAACUCUGACACAGGUGCUGCAUGGCUGUCGCCAGCUCGUGUCGUGAGAUGUUGGGUUAAGUCCCGUAACGAGCGCAACCCCUACCUUUAGUUGCCAUCAGGUUAAGCUGGGGACUCUAAAGGAACUGCCUACGCAAGUAGUGAGGAAGGCGGGGAUGACGUCAAAUCAGCACGGCCCUUACGUCCAGGGCUACACACGUGCUACAAUGGCCGAUACAGAGGGCAGCUACCUGGUGACAGGAUGCAAAUCUCCAAAGUCGGUCUCAGUUCGGAUCGGAGUCUGCAACCCGACUCCGUGAAGUUGGAUUCGCUAGUAAUCGCGCAUCAGCCAUGGCGCGGUGAAUACGUUCCCGGGCCUU